UUCUUUGAUGAUUUUCACAGUAAUACAGUUGCUUUCGAAGGCAUCAACACUGCGUUCAUUACACUGCUGCCAAAGAAGGAUACACCUUUGGAGUUGAGAGACUACAUGCCUAUCUCUCUGGUCCAUAGUGCACCCAAACUGGUUUCUAAGGUCCUGACAAAUCGGUUCAAAAAGAGGAUUCCUUCU
rnacentral:rRNA from 1 species